AGACAGAAGAGGAAAUCAGCGCUGAAUCACAUCACGCAAAAUGGAGCUAUCUGGCUUGUCCUUGGGCAUCUUCAUCCUGGUACAGACAUCAGAAGGUGUUUUCUGGACAGGGAAGGAAGGACUUGGCCUGUGUAUCUGUGGUCAUGCCUUGAGAACCAAGAGCCAGCCCAGCCAUCAGCUCCUCCAGCCACCCAAGAACCUCCCAAGAUGACUGAAGACAUCUUCCUUCACAUCCAGGCAUGGGAAGGAAGCUGAUUUUGCCCACCACCACCU